rnacentral:rRNA from 1 species
UCUUAAUGAUAGUUGGGAAAUGUUUUUUCGCCAAGGGAUCGGGCUAUAUGGUAUCAGUUAGUUGGUGAGGUAAUGGCUCACCAAGACGAUGACGCCUAGCUGGUCUGAGAGGAUGAUCAGCCACACUGGAACUGAGACACGGUCCAGACUCCUACGGGAGGCAGCAGUGGGGAAUAUUGCACAAUGGGGGAAACCCUGAUGCAGCAACGCCGCGUGGAGGAUGACGCAUUUCGGUGUGUAAACUCCUUUUAUAUAGGAAGAUAAUGACGGUACUAUAUGAAUAAGCACCGGCUAACUCCGUGCCAGCAGCCGCGGUAAUACGGAGGGUGCGAGCGUUACUCGGAAUCACUGGGCGUAAAGCGCGCGCAGGCGGUUUGAUAAGUUGGAUGUGAAAUCCUAUGGCUUAACCAUAGAACUGCAUCCAAAACUGUCAAACUAGAGUCUGGGAGGGGAAGAUGGAAUUAGUGGUGUAGGGGUAAAAUCCGUAGAGAUCACUAGGAAUACCAAAAGCGA